rnacentral:rRNA from 1 species
UACGAAGGGGGCUAGCGUUGUUCGGAAUUACUGGGCGUAAAGCGUGCGCAGGCGGCUUCUCAAGUCAGGGGUGAAAGCCCAGAGCUUAACUCUGGAAUUGCCUUUGAGACUGAGAGGCUUGAGUACGGGAGAGGUGAGUGGAAUUCCCAGUGUAGAGGUGAAAUUCGUAGAUAUUGGGAAGAACACCGGUGGCGAAGGCGGCUCACUGGCCCGUAACUGACGCUCAUGCAUGACAGCGUGGGGAUCAAACAGG